rnacentral:rRNA from 1 species
GAUGAACGCUGGCGGCGUGCUUAACACAUGCAAGUCGAACGGUGAACACGGAGCUUGCUCUGUGGGAUCAGUGGCGAACGGGUGAGUAACACGUGAGCAACCUGCCCCUGACUCUGGGAUAAGCGCUGGAAACGGCGUCUAAUACUGGAUAUGUGACGUGACCGCAUGGUCUGCGUUUGGAAAGAUUUUUCGGUUGGGGAUGGGCUCGCGGCCUAUCAUCUUGUUGGUGAGGUAAUGGCUCACCAAGGCGUCGACGGGUAGCCGGCCUGAGAGGGUGACCGGCCACACUGGGACUGAGACACGGCCCAGACUCCUACGGGAGGCAGCAGUGGGGAAUAUUGCACAAUGGGCGCAAGCCUGAUGCAGCAACGCCGCGUGAGGGAUGACGGCCUUCGGGUUGUAAACCUCUUUUAGCAGGGAAGAAGCGAAAGUGACGGUACCUGCAGAAAAAGCGCCGGCUAACUACGU